GGGCGAUUAGCUCAGCUGGUUAGAGCACACGCAUCACACGCGUGGGGUCGCUGGUUCGAAUCCAGUAUUGCCCA
rnacentral:tRNA from 1 species